CGUGGCUCCAGUCGCAUCGACCAGGCUCCAUCCGCGGGGCAACCCAUCCCGCGCUACUCUGUUGUGGACUGGACGAAUCGCCAUAUUGGCACGGGGCGGGCAUGCGCAGAUGGCGGCAUCGGUACGAGUCAAGUGCCCAACGGAUUACGCCUACAUCAUGUGUCAAUCAUUGUGAUCCGUUUAAAGUCCUCGUAGAAAAAGAUGCUUCGCACAUCGACGACGUUACUACAAGACUCUGAUGUUUUUCGAUUGAGCAGUACGAAGGAGCGGCGGGCGUGGAGAAGGGAAAAAGGGCGUAGUAAGUCAUACGGAGAGGCUCGUACGUCAUGUUUCAUCCGGGCCAACGGGGCAACACACGGAAAGGACUCUCCCCGUAUACGAUGAACGCACUCAGUUGGUCUGCCUCUUUAGGUCGCGACACCACAGUGAAUCCUUGCAACACACGGCGGAGAUCGGAGCUGAUUUUCGUCGAUACGAGAGUGGAGAGCUGUAUUACCGACAAAGUCUCACAAACGGCCAUAGCAGCGAGCGUGGGGGUUCACGAGAAGGAGGGAUAAACGAGCCAAGCCACGAUUUCGUUGUCGUAAACGUCAAAGUUACGGUUACAGCGUUGUUCCUAGCUGCUUUAUAUUGAACGAGGUUGCUCCCCGAGGUACGUAACACCUACUCGCAACCGUCGUAUUGUAGAAAGUAGCACUCCUUUCCAACUCAGGGAACGAUGCAAGCAACCACGUGGCUUUUACGCGGGAAUCCGGCAGAUGAGUUCAAGACUUGAAUGAAGAGACGUCUAAAUAGCACCCCAGCCUCUAUCGCGCCCUCUAAUUACCCCGUAGACGCAGUCACCCCUCAAUGAGGAGUGAUAAAUAUUACGUUUGGGUGUGUAUCCUGAGAAAGUGAUCCAGCUCUAUAGAGAAAGAUAUAUUUUUCAUUGCUAUUGAUGAGACUCGCGAGCUCUCUAUUUAGAAGAGUGAUAGAAAAAAUUUCCAAUUGUAUCAGAGAACUUCUUCGAUAAUUUAUGUAUUUGAUUUAAGCAUUGUUUACUUAUAGUAAGAUUCAACGAAAUAUGUAGCAAUAAAAAAUAUAAUAUCUUCUUAUAAGUAAUUUAAAAAAUGUUCUUAAAUAACAAGCUUUUUUUCUUUCUCUCUUCAUGUCUCCGCCUCUCCAGCCCUCUCUCCUCUUUACUGUGUAUCAUAAGAUAGGGACAUGGGCGCCAUACUUUCAUAAUUAUGAAUUAAACAGAUAAUCGCUCGCGCGAUCGGUUAUAACACACUUCCCAUGCACAGAGAUAAGAUUAGAGAUGUAAUAAAUUAAGUGACAGUAAGACAGUAAUUUAUAUUGGCAUGCACUCCAGCUAUAUAAUUAGCGUUGCCGAUAAGUAUUUAAGAAAUGAAUAGAGACAAUAAGCACACCUAGUUAUACAUCAAUUUUUACCGUCUUGCAAUAACGAAAUGAUAAGAUUUAUGAUCUCUUGCACAUACGCGCACACGUACAAACACAUUAUUACAUAGAAUAAGUUAUUUUAAAUUAAUUAUGUGAUUAUAUACACGCAUUUUACAUCAUGCGUAUUUGAGAAAUUCUCAGCAAGUUAUUUAAAUCUAUCGUGAAACAAAAUCAUGUUUAUCAUAUCAUAUGAUAAAAAAAAUCUUAAACAAGGAGGGAUUGUUCAUUA